rnacentral:rRNA from 1 species
UACGCUGAUGCGAUUUCGGUCAAAUCUUGUGUAAUCCUAGUGGCGGACGGGUGAGUAACGCGUGGGUAACCUGCCUUACACCGGGGGAUAACACUUAGAAAUAGGUGCUAAUACCGCAUAAGCGCACGAAACCGCAUGGUUUUGUGUGAAAAACUCCGGUGGUGUAAGAUGGACCCGCGUCUGAUUAGCUUGUUGGCGGGGUAACGGCCCACCAAGGCGACGAUCAGUAGCCGGCCUGAGAGGGUGGACGGCCACAUUGGGACUGAGACACGGCCCAAACUCCUACGGGAGGCAGCAGUGGGGGAUAUUGGACAAUGGGGGAAACCCUGAUCCAGCGACGCCGCGUGAGUGAAGAAGUAUUUCGGUAUGUAAAGCUCUGUCAGCAGGGAAGAAGAAAGUGACGGUACCUGACCAAGAAGCCCCGGCUAACUACGUGCCAGCAGCCGCGGUAAUACGUAGGGGGCAAGCGUUAUCCGGAAUUACUGGGUGUAAAGGGAGCGUAGACGGUAAUGUAAGUCUGGAGUGAAAGGCGGGGGCCCAACCCCCGGACUGCUCUGGAAACUAUGUUACUGGAGUGCAGGAGAGGUAAGCGGAAUUCCUAGUGUAGCGGUGAAAUGCGUAGAUAUUAGGAGGAACACCAGUGGCGAAGGCGGCUUACUGGACUGUAACUGACGUUGAGGCUCGAAAGCGUGGGGAGCAAACAGGAUUAGAUACCCUGGUAGUCCACGCCGUAAACGAUGAUUACUAGGUGUCGGUGGGUAUGG